CGGGACACGUGGUAUCCUGUCUGAAUAUGGGGGGACCAUCCUCCAAGGCUAAAUACUCCUGACUGACCGAUAGUGAACCAGUACCGUGAGGGAAAGGCGAAAAGAACCCCGGCGAGGGGAGUGAAAAAGAACCUGAAACCGUGUACGUACAAGCAGUGGGAGCCUCUUUAUGGGGUGACUGCGUACCUUUUGUAUAAUGGGUCAGCGACUUAUAUUCUGUAGCAAGGUUAACCGAAUAGGGGAGCCGAAGGGAAACCGAGUCUUAACUGGGCGUUAAGUUGCAGGGUAUAGACCCGAAACCCGGUGAUCUAGCCAUGGGCAGGUUGAAGGUUGGGUAACACUAACUGGAGGACCGAACCGACUAAUGUUGAAAAAUUAGCGGAUGACUUGUGGCUGGGGGUGAAAGGCCAAUCAAACCGGGAGAUAGCUGGUUCUCCCCGAAAGCUAUUUAGGUAGCGCCUCGUGAAUUCAUCUCCGGGGGUAGAGCACUGUU
rnacentral:rRNA from 1 species